GAAAGAGAGAGAGAGAGAGAGAGAGAGAGAAAGAGAGAACGAAAUGUCCAGAUGAACCAGAUGUCAAAUUAUUCUUCGAUUAAUGAUUGAUCAGAUGUGUACGAAGGAGGAGUUCCGAUGAAGUAAAAGCGAACUCGAAGUGUCUGAGUAACGACGAGCUCUUUUAUAAGGAGGCCAAAUCGUCGGAGCGAAACCGAUCUGGAUGUCAGGAAAUAGAGGUGGAGAGUGAAUAAGUGAGUAAGUGAAUGUGUGAGAGAGAGAGAAAGAGAGAGAGAGAGAAAAAGAGAGGGGGACAGAUCGGUAAAUAAGUGCGUGCUACCUCGUACCUGGAGCGAUCAUGAGGAGAAAGGAGCGUUUGUGUGCGCCGUUCGACGUUAGAAAAUCAUUGCGUGCCACUGCUAAUUUAGAUCGUUCGCCGUGAAAUCACGACAAACUCGUAACGCGAUCAAAGUCCAAAGAGAAGAGUCACGAACGAUCUUGUCUGACUCUUCGUUCCGUCUUUAGUAGUGCCACGCAAUUGAAUUGAGUAACUUCUUUUUCAUCGACUUUUUUUUCGACGACAAGCUAAUGUUAGUUAUGAUACAAAUGAUCGUAAUCUUAUGCUUUCUUACUGAUUAGUCGUGUUAAGCAUGAUUUAGUAAGAUUGUACGAAAGAUGUAGAAAAUAGUUUGCAGAUUUUUUUUGGAAAAAAUUUCUUAGAGUCAUUGAAAGAUCGUUGAUCAUUCUCGAGAGAUUCGAGGAUUAUAGUGCGUUAGUGCUAGUAAUCUUUCAGUGCGUGCUACGUCAUGAGUCUACAAAGAGACCGGAGCUUUCUAGGUUCUUCAGAUUCUCUCGCGUUCCUUUCAUUGACUUACGCAAGAGAGGUUAACGAUUCCAUCGUGGUCACAGGUCUGUUUGUCCAAGUCAAAGGCCAACCCACUGGGACACGUGAUUUGCUUCAGCCCGGACCUUGUACACCUGGUAAACGCAGAAAAGGGAAUCGUUUCAGUCUAAGGGGGUAAAUAAAAAGAAUUUCGCUUACUCUCCAGUUGUUCGCAGUUCUUGACAUUUGUCUUCCAGUCGCAAGUCUGCCGUUCAAUGUCGAAAGCGAGACCGGUCGGACAUCUUACUGUUGCCAACCUGGUAACGCCGAUUUCACUGGCUUUGUCGCACCUGCGAUUAUUUUUACCCAAAUCGUAUUUUAAUAGUACGUUCAUUAUUUAAAUAUCUCAUAAACAUGUAAAUCAUCAUUGCGGAGACCUACACAGGAUGAUAUACUUUUUUCUUCGAAAUAUUAUAUAUUUUUCGUUUCCUUUCUAUAAUUAAUGGAAUCUAGAGUCCUUGAGAACGUAACUCCUUUGUAUCUUGGAGAUCAAAUAACUUAAAGAAAACC